AUAGGUUUACGGUGUGUGUUUUUUACUGCUGUAAUAAUAAAUUAUUGUUUUGUACCACAAUAUGAUCUCUGUUCCUUGAGUAAACCGAACCUGUAUUGUCCAGUCCGGCUCAAGGACUUCCCCCUCUUAUAAUAAAGAAAAGACCCUGGUGUUAUCCCAGUAGUUAGAAAUAAAUCAGCCCCCCCCCCCCCCUACUUGGUGUCACAUUUGGCGUUGCUGGCAGGACCAAGGACAGAGACAUGUUGCUUAAGCAUUUUUUUUGGAAUGUAUGUUUGUAAAUACCGUGCAGCUGAUUCCUUAUAAGGUCCAUACAAUUGUUGAUAGGCUUGUGUUUGUUGUAUUGUGGAGCAAAAGCAGCAGUUUGUGUGCCGGAGGACCCCUAAGACAACGCUUCCAGCAGUUUUCGGAGAAGACACGGUGUCAUCAUGGACGAGUAGAUGCAAGAACUUCGGGAGAUGGUGCAAAGGUUGAAGGCAGAUAAUGAGCGGCUGUUACAGGAAAGACAGUCCCUAAACCCGGUCCCGGGCUCCUCGACGGCACCUCCCUCUGCCAACGAUGGUAGUCUUGACUCUGCGCAACCACUCGGUACUUUCGGUAUGGAAACCUCUACUAGGUUGCCACCAGUUGUUGAGCGUGUGGUGUACAUUCCCAAGGAUAAGUGUUCCACCUUUACAGGAGAAGGAGACGUAUCGGUGAGGGAAUGGGUGGAUGAGGUGCAGUCAAAAUUUCGCACACGUAGGAUGUCUAUUGUAGAACAGGCCCAUUUCAUUUAUGACCAUUUAGGAGGAGCAGCAAGAGACGAAAUUAAGUAUCGUUCUAGACAGGUUCGGGAAGAUCCCAAACUAAUUUUUUCCAUCCUUCAGACUCAGUAUGGCUGUGCAGACUCACCUAUUGCUCUAUUGCAGAAUUUCCACUCUCGGAAACAGCAAGAAGGGGAGACAUUGCCCGUCCGAUGGGAGCGAGAAGGCAGACCACGGGAAGGGAGGCCGAGAAGCUAUUCUGUCCCGUCGGUUUAUAGCAUCCAUCAGGGCGCUUCCGUUUAUGCAGUUUUCUAAAACAUUGUCAGCCUUAA
ensembl:lncRNA